rnacentral:tRNA from 1 species
GCGAAGGUGGCGGAAUUGGUAGACGCGCUAGCUUCAGGUGUUAGUGUCCUUACGGACGUGGGGGUUCAAGUCCCCCCCUUGCACCA